rnacentral:snRNA from 1 species
CGGAAGCCGGGUUACGGUGCCCA